UACAGAGGGUGCAAGCGUUAAUCGGAAUUACUGGCGUAAAGCGUGCGCAGGCGGUGAUGUAAGACAGUUGUGAAAUCCCCGGGCUCAACCUGGGAACUGCAUCUGUGACUGCAUCGCUGGAGUGCGGCAGAGGGGGAUGGAAUUCCGCGUGUAGCAGUGAAAUGCGUAGAUAUGCGGAGGAACACCGAUGGCGAAGGCAAUCCCCUGGGCCUGCACUGACGCUCAUGCACGAAAGCGUGGGGAGCAAACAGG
rnacentral:rRNA from 1 species